rnacentral:lncRNA from 1 species
ACUUAUGAAACUCAGUUUGGUGGGAUAUGAGUUCUUGGUUGAAAUUUAUUUUCUUUAAUAAUGCUGAAAAUAUAGGCCCCCCCAUAUCUUCUGGCUUGUAAGGUUUCUGCUGACAGAACUGUUGCUGGCCUGAUGAGGUUCUUUUUGUAGGUGACCUGACCUUUCUCACUAGCUGCCUUAACAAUUUUUUCUUUUGCAUUGACCUUGGUGAAUCUGAUGACUAUGUGACUUGGCAAUGGUUGUCUUGUAUAGUGUCUCACAGGAGUUCUCUGUAUUUCUUGAAUUUGUAUGCCCACCUCUCUGGUGAGAUAGGGGAAAUUUUCAUGGACUGCAUCCUCAGAUGUAUGUUCUAAGUUGCUUACUCUCUUUCUCAGGAAUGACUGUGAGUCAUAGACUUGGUCUCUUUACAUAACCUCAUAAAUCUUGAAGGUUUUGUUCAUGUUUUAAAUUCUUUUUUCUUUAUUUUUGUCCAACCAAGUUGAUUCAAAUAACUGGUCUUCAAACUCUGAGAUUCUUUCCUCAGCUUGGUCUGUUCUGCUGUUAAUGCCUCUGACUAUAUUAUGAAAUUUUUGAAGUUGAUCCCUCAAUUUCUGAAGUUCAGUUUUGUUCUUUCUUAAAAUAGCUAUUUCAUCUUUAAGCUCUUUGAUCAUUUUUCUGGAUUCCUUGAGUUCCUUGUAUUGGGUUUCAAUGAUCUCCUGGAUCUUGAUGUACUUCCUUGCCAUCCAGAUUCUGAAUUCUAUGUAUGUCAUUUGAGUCAGUUGGCUUCAUUCUGAGUGCUUUCAAAGGGCCAAAGCUCUGUACAGCAUCUUUAUUUGUGGCUAGAUUUUUGCUUUAGGUUUCACAGGUGCUGUAUAUUGGAAAAAUGUUUUUGGUGUUGUCAUUUGGGGUGCAAUCCAGUAGGUGAUGCUUAAGAGUGGUAGCUGGCAGAUAGGCUCUUACUCAGUCCACAGCUCUUUUGUAUUUUGGUGCAGUCCUCAGUAGUGCUCUGUGGUGGUAGGGAGAGAUGACCCCCUCACCAGAUACAUUCCUGGGCCUUGGGGGAGCCCUCUCUUAUUACUGGCACUGCACCUGCAUUUCAUUUAUUAGGUGUCCUGGGCUGCAGGGUGCCCUCAGGCAGAGGCUGCGGCUGGAAAAUAGACCAUACCCUUCCCUGGCUGGCCCUGCACAAGGAGGCACACCCUGUUCCUGAGCCAGUCCAUGAACCCAGCUGUCUCACCCCUCUCAGUGUUCUGAGAGUAGGGGAUCCCCCACUGCUUGAGCACCAUGAGCCCCUCCUGGCUACAGGCAGUGGGGGUAGGUAUAGUCUCUCAACCCACUGUCCAACUGAUUUCCAGGGUAACAGAGAGCUGUGCCUGCCCACAGAGUUCAGGCAGAGGCCAGGCCAUUGUGCUGGAAGCUGAUGCUAAGCCUUGUCUGAUGAUGGGGAGUGAAGCAAUGUAACGGCUCCCUAACUGUGGCUUCUCUCAGGGCUAUGGCAGCUGGCAUGAGACUGCUCCAGGUCCAAGGCCUGUGGGACUUCCUGUGGACUUGAGUUUUGCCUCUGCAAACACUCCAGCAACUCUCUAUGUCAGUCUAGAGGCCCAGGGACACGGAUCAGGUAUUGGGAUGAAGGGGUUCUCCAGUUCCCAGGAUUUCACAGGUCCCUGUGGAAAGUGAGGAUCCCCCAGGGGCUCUCACUCACUCACCCUUUCUCUAUGUUGGGGAGCUUCCCCUGGCUCCAUGCCCAUCUUGGGUGGCCAGCUGCCCAGCUUCACUCUUCCCUGUUCUCUGUGUCCCCUCACUCCCUUAAUUGUCCUGAUAUCGUUCCUUAGGUGAUCUACUUGCAGAGGCAGUGUUUACUCGCCACUUGUUUUCUCUCUGUGAGAGUAGCACACACUAGCUGCUACUCAUCUAGCAUCUUGAAUUCUUCCCAUCUGAAAAAGUUUCAACUGCAAUCACAGUUAAAGAAAUACAAAAACAAUAGCACUCU